CCUGGCGGCCAUAGCGCCGUGGAACCACCUGAUCCCAUGCCGAACUCAGAAGUGAAACGCGGUAGCGCCGAUGGUAGUGUGGCAUUC
rnacentral:rRNA from 1 species